AUUGAACGCUGGCGGCAGGCCUAACACAUGCAAGUCGAGCGGAGCGGCGGACGGGCGAGUAAUGCAUAGGAAUCUGCCUGGUAGUGGGGGAUAACGUCCGGAUACGGGCGCUAAUACCGCAUACUUUCAGUUGAGCCUAGGUCGGUUUAGCUAGGUGGUGGGGUAAAGGCCUACCAGGGCGACGAGCCGUACCUGGUCUGAGAGGAUGAUCAGUCAAACUGGAACGGAGACACGGUGCAGACGCCUACGUGAGGCAGCAGGGGGGAAUAUUGGAAAAUGGGCGAAAGCCUGAGCCGGCCAUGCCGCGUGUGUGAAGAAGGUCUUCGGAUUGUAAAGCACUUUAAGUUGGGAGGGGUUACCAGCAGAAUAAGCACCGGCUAACUCCGUGCCAGCAGCGGCGGUAAUUC
rnacentral:rRNA from 1 species